rnacentral:lncRNA from 10 species
CGUGCGCUUCCUCAUCGCCUGCACUUCCUGAUUGGGUAACUCAAGGCGUCCCUGGAGUACACUGAGGAUAAGUGUUUGAGAAAUGCUGUCUGAAGGAAUGAAGUCAGUCUAUGACAACGUCUCUCUGCCGUGAAUCAUUCCUGCAGAUGAAAAAGUGUGACUUGGCAGCUGGAUGGGGGUGAGAAAAGAGACAGAUUUAAGAGACAAUGGGCAUACAAGAAGAGGGAAAGGAGUUUGGAGUGAUGGCAAAUCGAGAAAGAUGGAUGGUAGCAUCUUCACAGAAACGGAGUCCUCAUGUGGAGGAACUGGCUUGAAGGAGGUGACAAGGAGCUCGGUUUUAGACUUGCUGAAACUGGGGUGACCACAAGAUCUGUGAGAUGGGUAUGGGAAUGAGUUCUCGAAGAAGGUGGAGAAUGGAUAUUUUGGACACCUUCAAGUAAAUACGGUAGUUGAAGCUGAAAGCAAAGAGUUGAAGAGAGCAAAAGGCCAAGAGUUCCAUCCUGAGACAUACAUAUUCAGAGCCUGAGAAAAGUCAAGCCAAAAGUGAAUCUAAAGAUUGUCCAAAAAGACUGAAGAAUCAGGAUUGUGGAGUAUCACCGGAAAGAAGAAGAGAGGUUCAAAGAAAAGGAAGGAGUUGGCUGGGCGUGGUGACUCACACCUGUAAUCCCAGCAUUUUGGGAGGCCAAAGCAGGCGGAUUACAUGAGUCCAGGAGUUUGAGACCAGCCUGGCCAACAUGGUGAAACCCUGUCUCUGCAAAAAAUACAAAAAUUAGCCAGGCAUAGUGGUGCACACCUGUAAUCCCAGCUACUGAGGAGGCUGAGGCCUGAGAAUCGCUUGAACCUGGGAGGCAGAGGUUGCAGAGAGCUGAGAUUGCGCCACCGCACUCCAGCCCAGUAACAGAGUGAGACUCUGUCUAAAAAAAAAGAGAGAGAGAGAAGGAGUUGACAGUCUCAGGGAAAUCAAAGAGACUGAAGACUGUAUUAACACCAUUGAGGUGAACAGCUCACAGUCCCGGUAGGGAGAUGAUAGAGACAAAUCAUUGUGGUUACAUGAUGAGUUAUGACACGAAUGAGAACAAAGUGUUGUGGAAACACUGAGGAAAGAGCAAUGAACUGCCAAA